UACAGAGACCUCAAGCGUUAUCCGGAUUUACUGGGCGUAAAGGGUUUGUAGGCGGUUGUCUAAGUCUCACGUUAAAUCUUCGGGCUCAACCCGAAGGCCGCGUGGGAUACUGGAUGACUCGAGGAUGGGAGAGGUAAGCGGAAUUGCCAGUGUAGUAGUAAAAUGCGUUAAUAUUGGCAAGAACACCAAAGGCGAAGGCAGCUUACUGGAACAUACCUGACGCUGAAAAACGAAAGCGUGGGGAGCGAAGCGG
rnacentral:rRNA from 1 species